UACGUAGGGCGCAAGCGUUAUCCGGAAUUAUUGGGCGUAAAGAGCUCGUAGGCGGUUUGUCGCGUCUGCCGUGAAAGUCCGGGGCUCAACUCCGGAUCUGCGGUGGGUACGGGCAGACUAGAGUGAUGUAGGGGAGACUGGAAUUCCUGGUGUAGCGGUGAAAUGCGCAGAUAUCAGGAGGAACACCGAUGGCGAAGGCAGGUCUCGUGGGACGUAUGACGCUGAGACGACGAAGCGUGGGGAGCGAACAGG
rnacentral:rRNA from 1 species